rnacentral:rRNA from 1 species
CCCUUAGAAGUUCUGGGCUGCACGCGCGCUACACUGAAGCUAUCAACACGUUUUCCCUCCCUGAGAAGGGCGGGUAACCUUUUGAAUCAGCUUCGUGGUAGGGAUCGGGGCUUGCAAUUGUUCCCCGUGAACCAGGAAUUCCUAGUAGACGCGAGUCAUAAGCUCGCAUCGAUUAAGUCCCUGCCCUUUGUACACACCGCCCGUCGCUACUACCGAUUGAACGUUUUAGUGAGGCAUUUGGACCGACGCAUCUCAGUUUAACCGCUGGUUUGUGUUGGAAAGACUUCCAAACUUGAGCGUUUAGAGGAAGUAAAAGUCGUAACA